CUAACUGGAGCCUCCGUAUGUCUCAUUUUCAUCUCUUUCAUAUUAAAAAAUUACAAGGGCACUUAGAUAUCUGGAUCAAGACGGGAACAUUUAAUUAUGGCAGAAACAGCAUACUGUUGAUGAAUGGUUGAUGGUUUUUUUUGGAUUACUAAUGUUCAUCAAUAGCAUAGAUGCUCAUAGAGCACCAAAUAACUUAAUUAGCACUGUAUUAUACACUUGAAAUGUGGGAAGGAAUAACAUUAAUAUAAUAUUUUCUGAAGAAGUUCUAAUAGAUGGUUCUAUAAGUACUAGGCCUAUGAUGAUUUCAUACAGAAUUAAAUAGAGAAAGUAGAUACGGAAUAAGAAGAUGAAAUGCUGGCCGUAAAAACAUAAUAACCAGUUUUCUUUAAUAUCUCAAAUAGGAGUAUGAAGAGAAGAUGAAGG
rnacentral:misc_RNA from 1 species